AUUGAACGCUGGCGGCAUGCCUUACACAUGCAAGUCGAACGGCAGCACGGGUGCUUGCACCUGGUGGCGAGUGGCGAACGGGUGAGUAUCACGUGGGUAAUCUGCCCUCGGCAUCGGGAUAGCCCGGGGAAACCCGGAUUAAUACCGAAUGGCCCAUCCGCUCUUCGGAGCGGCUGGAAAAGGUAGCUUCGGCCUCCGGCCGAGGAGGCGCCCGCGGCGGAUUAGCUUGUUGGUGGGGUAACGGCUCACCAAGGCAACGAUACGGAGCUGGUCUGAGAGGACGAUCAGCCACACUGGGACUGAGACACGGCCCAGACUCCUACGGGAGGCAGCAGUGGGGAAUCUUGCGCAAUGGGCGAAAGCCUGACGCAGCGACGCCGCGUGCGGGAAGAAGGCCUUCGGGUUGUAAACCGCUCUCAGGAGGGACGAAGCCACUCAGGUUAAUAGCCGAGAGGGUGACGGUACCUCCAGAAGAAGCCCCGGCUAACUACGUGCCAGCCGCCGCAGUAA
rnacentral:rRNA from 1 species